UUGGUAUCAUUGUAUGAUUUGAUUCAGAAAUGUCUCGAUUAAAAGAGUUUGAAAUAUCCCAUCGGCAAGCACUCGCCAGCUUCUAUAAGCCGGUGGUGCUCCCCAGAGGGGUGCAACGACUUGCCGAGGCAACAGAGGUAUGGUAGAUUUGGGGUUUGAGGGUCGGGCCUCCGAAAAGAACCCUUUUCUCAGUAAUGAUCCUUCCGCAGGUUCUGUAAUUUAUCGUUAGCAAGAGUUCAUAUUUCAAGCAGAGCAGGGAAGUGUCCAACUUACCACCUACGGAAA
rnacentral:misc_RNA from 1 species